CCUACGGGAGGCAGCAGUGAGGAAUAUUGGUCAAUGGACGAGAGUCUGAACCAGCCAAGUAGCGUGAAGGAUGACUGCCCUAUGGGUUGUAAACUUCGUUUAUAGGGGAAUAAAAUGUGCCACGUGUGGGAUUUUGUAUGUACCAUAUGAAUAAGGAUCGGCUAACGCCGUGCCAGCAGCCGCGGUAAUACGGAGGAUCCGAGCGUUAUCCGGAUGUAUGUGGUUGACAGGGAGCGUAGGUGGAUUGUUAAGGCAGUGGGGAAAGUUUGCGGCUCAACCGUCUACUUGCCGUUGAAACUGGCAGUCUUGCGUACAGUAGCGGUGGGCGGUAUUCGUGGUGUAGCUGU
rnacentral:rRNA from 1 species